UACGAAGGGGGCUAGCGUUGCUCGGAAUCACUGGCCGUAAAGGGUGCGUAGGCGGGUCUUUAAGUCAGGGGUGAAAUCCUGGAGCUCAACUCCAGAACUGCCCUUGAUACUGAGGAUCUUGAGUUCGGGAGAGGUGAGUGGAACUGCGAGUGUAGAGGUGAAAUUCGUAGAUAUUCGCAAGAACACCAGUGGCGAAGGCGGCUCACUGGCCCGAUACUGACGCUGAGGCACGAAAGCGUGGGGAGCAAACAGG
rnacentral:rRNA from 1 species